rnacentral:lncRNA from 1 species
AGACAGUGGUAGGAUGGCUAGAAGGCUUGGUACAGAAACUCCAAAGAAAAAAGGUAGAUGGUAGUAUGGAAAUAUGAAAAUAAAAAAUAGUAGCAUUAGGAUUAUGACCUCUCAUAUAUUUGAUGGAAGGCAUGCUAGGGUUAGUACCUCCCCUAGACUUAUGGAGAAGAAAGAAGAAGAGAUAGGGGCAGCAGCUUGGAGAGAAAUUUAGGCAUUGGCUUAAUGGGAAGAGAGAAAGGGAAGAGCUUUGAUGGAAGAGAGGAGGAAG